UACGAAGGGGGCUAGCGUUGUUCGGAAUUACUGGGCGUAAAGCGCACGUAGGCGGAUAUUUAAGUCAGGGGUGAAAUCCCAGAGCUCAACUCUGGAACUGCCUUUGAUACUGGGUAUCUUGAGUAUGGAAGAGGUGAGUGGAAUUCCGAGUGUAGAGGUGAAAUUCGUAGAUAUUAGGAGGAACACCAGUGGCGAAGGCGGCUCACUGGUCCAUUACUGACGCUGAGGUGCGAAAGCGUGGGGAGCAAACAGG
rnacentral:rRNA from 1 species